rnacentral:rRNA from 1 species
GAUGAACGCUGGCGGCGUGCCUAAUACAUGCAAGUCGAGCGAACAGACGAGGAGCUUGCUCCUCUGACGUUAGCGGCGGACGGGUGAGUAACACGCGGAUAACCUACCUAUAAGACUGGGAUAACUUCGGGAAACCGGAGCUAAUACCGGAUAAUAUAUUGAACCGCAUGGUUCAAUAGUGAAAGACGGUUUUGCUGUCACUUAUAGAUGGAUCCGCGCCGCAUUAGCUAGUUGGUAAGGUAACGGCUUACCAAGGCAACGAUACGUAGCCGACCUGAGAGGGUGAUCGGCCACACUGGAACUGAGACACGGUCCAGACUCCUACGGGAGGCAGCAGUAGGGAAUCUUCCGCAAUGGGCGAAAGCCUGACGGAGCAACGCCGCGUGAAUGAUGAAGGUCUUCGGAUCGUAAAACUCUGUUAUUAGGGAAGAACAAAUGUGUAAGUAACUAUGCACGUCUUGACGGUACCUAAUCAGAAAGCCACGGCUAACUACGUG